GAUGAACGCUGGCGGCGUGCCUAAUACAUGCAAGUCGAGCGAACAGACGAGGAGCUUGCUCCUCUGACGUUAGCGGCGGACGGGUGAGUAACACGUGGAUAACCUACCUAUAAGACUGGGAUAACUUCGGGAAACCGGAGCUAAUACCGGAUAAUAUAUUGAACCGCAUGGUUCAAUAGUGAAAGACGGUUUUGCUGUCACUUAUAGAUGGAUCCGCGCCGCAUUAGCUAGUUGGUAAGGUAACGGCUUACCAAGGCAACGAUGCGUAGCCGACCUGAGAGGGUGAGCGGCCACAAUGGAACUGAGACACGGUCCAGACUCCUACGGGAGGCAGCAGUAGGGAAUCUUCCGCAAUGGGCGAAAGCCUGACGGAGCAACGCCGCGUGAGUGAUGAAGGUCUUCGGAUCGUAAAACUCUGUUAUUAGGGAAGAACAAAUGUGUAAGUAACUAUGCACGUCUUGACGGUACCUAAUCAGAAAGCCACGGCUAACUACGU
rnacentral:rRNA from 1 species